rnacentral:rRNA from 1 species
GACGAACGCUGGCGGCGUGCCUAAUACAUGCAAGUAGAACGCUGAAGGCGGAGCUUGCUUCUCUGGAUGAGUUGCGAACGGGUGAGUAACGCGUAGGUAACCUGCCUGGUAGCGGGGGAUAACUAUUGGAAACGAUAGCUAAUACCGCAUAAGAGUAGAUGUCGCAUGACAUUUGCUUAAAAGGUGCAAUUGCAUCACUACCAGAUGGACCUGCGUUGUAUUGGCUAGGUGGUGAGGUAACGGCUCACCAAGGCAACGAGGCAUAGCCGACCGGCAAGGGGGCGCGGCCCCCCUGGGACGGAGACACGGCCCAGAGUCCUACGGGGGGCAGCCGUAGGGAAUCUUCGGCAAUGGCCGGAAUUCUGACCGAGCAACGCCGCGGGAGUGAAGAAGGGUUCCGGAUCGUAAAGCUCUGUUGUAAGGGAAGAACGAGUGUGAGAGUGGAAAGUUCACACUGUGACGGUAUCUUACCAGAAAGGGACGGCUAACUACGUG